rnacentral:misc_RNA from 1 species
CCUACAUGCUCUUCAAUCCGUCUCCAAGCCCGGCCAUAAAGUUUUAAGGCUUCAAGAAAUUUCUUAUGCUCAUCUUCUGUCCAUCUUUCUCUUUGUUUUGUGAUUGUGUACGGUUUCCUCACCUUGGGAGAGUAGUCAUUCCCACAAGUAAACUGGUCUUUAAGCUGGGUGGCGGUUACUGUAUGCAGGCCACCAUUCAAUAAAAUUCCAUUGCCUGCUGGGAGAGACGCAUUAGAGAGAGUCCCUCCACACUGAUCCUGAACAGUCAUAGCAGCACAGACCACCAAUCCUCCUACCAUGCACAAGAUCUCCUUUUCCAACUAACAAAAUUUUCCUUGGCUUAUCCCUUUCAGGGCUACAAGUGAUAUCAAACUUUCUUCUCUAUCUUCCUUCACGACCAUAG